rnacentral:lncRNA from 10 species
AGAAGAGUCAACACAGCUCAGAGAUUGACAGUGACUGCUCUGCUUUUGUGAUACCAGCGACAGAACUCUGCAAACAUCUCUGCUUCGCAGCUGGCAUCCUGUUGGAUUUUUCCAGUAGAGGGAAGCUUCCAUGCUGCAGGAAGAAGGGGCGUGCUCCUUCCCGUUCCUGUCAGCACUGCUGCAGCAGUUUGCUCUCACAGCUGCAUGUGAUCCCAGCUGCCAUUUCUGACCUGCUCAGAACCAGCUUCAUGAUGGGCUCAAAGACCCAGGACCAGGUGCUCUUGUGACUUCUCUGACUUCAGUCCUUCUGGAGUCAGAUCACCCAGCUUCUCUGAUGAGUGACUGGUCAUUUUUAAAGCAUGCCUGCAGCAGUCUUCAAGAGGUUUCUGCCUGGGCAUCACAAUCAGCACACAUUUGCUCAUACACAUACCAGCUCUGGCAUGUACACGUGGCCACGGUACCCUUCGUACAACACGGGAAGAGAACAACAGGACGCCCAAGAGGCAUCUGGACAGCACACAGCA